rnacentral:rRNA from 1 species
UACGUAGGGUGCAAGCGUUUGUCCGGAAUUAUUGGGCGUAAAAGAGCUCGUAGGCGGUUUGUCGCGUCUGCUGUGAAAACGCGAGGCUCAACCUCGCGCCUGCAGUGGGUACGGGCAGACUAGAGUGCGGUAGGGGAGAUUGGAAUUCCUGGUGUAGCGGUGGAAUGCGCAGAUAUCAGGAGGAACACCGAUGGCGAAGGCAGAUCUCUGGGCCGUUACUGACGCUGAGGAGCGAAAGCGUGGGGGAGCGAACAGGA